GAUGCAGUGUACCCGCGGCAAGACGGAAAGACCCCGUGAACCUUUACUAUAGCUUGACACUGAACAUUGAGCCUUGAUGUGUAGGAUAGGUGGGAGGCUUUGAAGCGUGGACGCCAGUCUGCGUGGAGCCGACCUUGAAAUACCACCCUUUAAUGUUUGAUGUUCUAACGUGGACCCGUGAUCCGGGUUGCGGACAGUGUCUGGUGGGUAGUUUGACUGGGGCGGUCUCCUCCUAAAGAGUAACGGAGGAGCACGAAGGUUGGCUAAUCCUGGUCGGACAUCAGGAGGUUAGUGCAAUGGCAUAAGCCAGCUUGACUGCGAGCGUGACGGCGCGAGCAGGUGCGAAAGCAGGUCAUAGUGAUCCGGUGGUUCUGAAUGGAAGGGCCAUCGCUCAACGGAUAAAAGGUACUCCGGGGAUAACAGGCUGAUACCGCCCAAGAGUUCAUAUCGACGGCGGUGUUUGGCACCUCGAUGUCGGCUCAUCACAUCCUGGGGCUGAAGUAGGUCCCAAGGGUAUGGCUGUUCGCCAUUUAAAGUGGUACGCGAGCUGGGUUUAGAACGUCGUGAGACAGUUCGGUCCCUAUCUGCCGUGGGCGCUGGAGAACUGAGGGGGGCUGCUCCUAGUACGAGAGGACCGGAGUGGACGCAUCACUGGUGUUCGGGUUGUCAUGCCAAUGGCACUGCCCGGUAGCUAAAUGCGGAAGAGAUAAGUGCUGAAAGCAUCUAAGCACGAAACUUGCCCCGA
rnacentral:rRNA from 1 species